AUGAGUUAGUCUACACAUCUCUGAAGUGGACUGGACUGAGCUGAUAAAUUCUUCUCUCGGAAGGCAGGGCAGACAGAACUCACAUGGAACUCACAACGGCAGUUGGUACAGAAGUCAUAGCCACAACGCAUGCAUUGAGCUCGCUGACCGUUCAUGAGUAAUUUUGCGGGUGACUGGCAGGCGUCUUUGGCACACUUGGUUAGGGAUUCAUCAGCUAGGAGAGAUUCUGAGGCCUGAUUGGGAGAAAAAUCAUACCAUUUUUAAAUAUUAUGGUUGUCAAAACGCACAUACAUGUAUAUGUAACAACAUGGCGUCUGCCACAAGAUUUUAGCCAGAAGGGUUUAACCAUUGUUUCAAGCAUUGAGAAACUGGACUGUUUUUAUAAUUGUUAUAAUCUGUUGUAAUUUGAAAUGUUUGGUAUAUGUUCCCUGAAUUAUCAAGGCCUUUAGGGUAUAAAAAAGUUUGAUUAAGUUCGAUUCUCAACGACUACACAAACCUGACGGAACUUGUCAUGGUUACUCAGUCUCGGAGCUGGUGUACUUGAGGCUUGAGGCUCACCGAGUCGUUGAACUUCCCCAAGUGGUGUGGCUGCACUGACUGUAUCACGCAGGAAAGGCUGCUUUGGGUAGUUCUCCUGUUGGAGUAUAAAUCAGGUUAUAAAAUUAAAGCAAAAAUGUUACGAGGUUCUC